rnacentral:rRNA from 1 species
AUGAACGCUGGCGGCGUGCUUAACACAUGCCAGUCGAACGAAGCACUUUAUUUGAUUUCCUUCGGGACUGAUUAUUUUGUGACUGAGUGGCGGACGGGUGAGUAACGCGUGGGUAACCUGCCUUGUACAGGGGGAUAACAGUUGGAAACGGCUGCUAAUACCGCAUAAGCGCACAGCAUCGCAUGAUGCAGUGUGAAAAACUCCGGUGGUAUAAGAUGGACCCGCGUUGGAUUAGCUAGUUGGUGAGGUAACGGCCCACCAAGGCGACGAUCCAUAGCCGACCUGAGAGGGUGACCGGCCACAUUGGGACUGAGACACGGCCCAAACUCCUACGGGAGGCAGCAGUGGGGAAUAUGGCACAAUGGGCGAAAGCCUGAUGCAGCGACGCCGCGUGAGCGAAGAAGUAUUUCGGUAUGUAAAGCUCUAUCAGCAGGGAAGAUAAUGACGGUACCUGACUAAGAAGCACCGGCUAAAUACGU